AGAGUUUGGUCUGGCUCAGAUUGAACGCUGGCGGCAGGCCUAACACAUGCAAGUCGAGCGGAAACGACACUAACAAUCCUUCGGGUGCGUUAAUGGGCGUCGAGCGGCGGACGGGUGAGUAAUGCCUAGGAAAUUGCCUUGAUGUGGGGGAUAACCAUUGGAAACGAUGGCUAAUACCGCAUAAUGCCUACGGGCCAAAGAGGGGGACCUUCGGGCCUCUCGCGUCAAGAUAUGCCUAGGUGGGAUUAGCUAGUUGGUGAGGUAAUGGCUCACCAAGGCGACGAUCCCUAGCUGGUCUGAGAGGAUGAUCAGCCACACUGGAACUGAGACACGGUCCAGACUCCUACGGGAGGCAGCAGUGGGGAAUAUUGCACAAUGGGCGAAAGCCUGAUGCAGCCAUGCCGCGUGUAUGAAGAAGGCCUUCGGGUUGUAAAGUACUUUCAGUUGUGAGGAAGGGGGUAACGUUAAUAGCGUUAUCUCUUGACGUUAGCAACAGAAGAAGCACCGGCUAACUCCGUGCCAGC
rnacentral:rRNA from 1 species